rnacentral:rRNA from 1 species
GACGAACGCUGGCGGCGUGCCUAAUACAUGCAAGUAGAACGCUGAAGGAGGAGCUUGCUCUUCUGGAUGAGUUGCGAACGGGUGAGUAACGCGUAGGUAACCUGCCUGGUAGCGGGGGAUAACUAUUGGAAACGAUAGCUAAUUCCGCAUAAGAGUAGAUGUUGCAUGACAUUUGCUUAAAAGGUGCAAUUGCAUCACUACCAGAUGGACCUGCGUUGUAUUAGCUAGUUGGUGGGGUAACGGCUCACCAAGGCGACGAUACAUAGCCGACCUGAGAGGGUGAUCGGCCACACUGGGACUGAGACACGGCCCAGACUCCUACGGGAGGCAGCAGUAGGGAAUCUUCGGCAAUGGACGGAAGUCUGACCGAGCAACGCCGCGUGAGUGAAGAAGGUUUUCGGAUCGUAAAGCUCUGUUGUAAGAGAAGAACGAGUGUGAGAGUGGAAAGUUCACACUGUGACGGUAUCUUACCAGAAAGGGACGGCUAACUACGUG